rnacentral:lncRNA from 1 species
AUGGUUUUCUCCUCACCUGCCUGCCCAUUUGUACAGGUGAUCCUGAUAGUCUUGAACCUAGUCAACUGCCUUUUUCCUGCUAAAUUGUUGGCUGGACAGUACUUCUUUGUGAAAACUCUUCAGAAGAAAAGACACAGAAUCUUCCUCAAGAGCCAACGUGUCAUUGAAUACAUCCUCAAAUUCCAGAUUUUCUCAAACAAAAGGAGUCUUGUGGAAGGAGCUGCAAUCAGCCAGAUGGAAGAGAGGUGUAGCUUGCCAAGACUGGAAGCACCCUUUGAGAUGUUUUGACCUAUCCCUCUCAUUUUGUACAUGAAAAAACUGAGAUCCAAGGAAGAGAAGAGAAUUUCCUAAGGUCACCCCGUGGAAGGAAUGAGACAAAAGAAUGGGACUCUCAAAUCAUAGAACCCCCAGGCCAAGGUACCCACCUACCUCUUAGAGUUGUACAGCCCUUCUUGACCCCAUUCCUUAAAGAACUCUGAGAGUGAGAUUGUAGGCCAGAGGGGUAGGGAUGGAAUCUCUUAAGUGAAAGGAAAUGAAGCUGUAUUGAUAGAGUCUGCCAAGAGGGGAAAUCUUGCUGUUUUAGAGGGGAGAGGAGGAGGAGGUGGUGGCAAAGUCCAGCUUUUACUAAGCUCUAAAUGCAAAACUAAACAAGAUAAAGUGAGCUGUCUAGGUCUGUGACCCCACUGAGAACCUGCAUUACUGAGGUCUUCUCGGAGGAUCAAACAGAAAAGAAUAAGUAAUGCUAGUCACUCAAUAGCAAGUCUUAAGCACUUAUUUGGUGCAGGAUAUAGUCCUAGGUGCUACAAAGGGUAAAGUAUGGCCGAGAGUGGCCCUUCCAAGAGCCAGUCUGGUGCCUGCCAAUAACAGUGUUUUUACAGGUACACCCACACAUACACGUUCAAACACACACACACACGUGCAUGUUAAGGAAUGAAGUAUUUCAUAAUGCUCAAUCUGUUCUCUUUAUUCUGAGAUCAUGUCCUGUUUUGGGGGCUGUUGUUAAUAUAACUUCAUCUGUUUUUAACAAUAUCCUUUCAAUAAAAUGUUGGCAACGCAAUCA